rnacentral:ribozyme from 1 species
CGACUGCAUGCAUUUUGCCCCUGCGCAUAAAAAGCGAUCUUUCCGUUCUGCCGCCAGCGAAGCUACUGACCAGGACAUUGACAUGGAUGAAGGUUUCAAUGACUUUGGUUUUUAAGUUUUUCUUUUUUCUACACCCUGAUCC